rnacentral:lncRNA from 1 species
CAGCCACAGUACAGGCUUUGUGUGCUUUCAGCAUGGACUCCACAGACUGUAUCUGCAGUUAAAAGGAAACCCCCAGGUUUCCUGCAACCUCACUGGGCAUUUUCAGAAUGAUCUGUACAAGCGUUGACUGAAUGAUUGAUUCCAAGUUCCCCCUUCCUAGGAUUUCAGACCUCCUCUUGACAAGUGAUGAAUGGGCCAUCUUAAUCUUGUUUGGAUCAGAAAGGACCAUACAAUUGAGCUUUAGACAAGACUAAAAAUAUCAAAAGUAGCACUCUGCAAUUUUAUGUGCAUGUGGCUUGAAGCUCUGACAACAACACAAAAGAGCUACCUACUGAAAUAUUUACAAGUGAAAUGAUGUGAGAUGUGGGAUUUGAUUCAAAAUGAUCCUUUAUGUAUGAAGAGUGGGGCGUGGAGAAUGCAUGAAGAUACAGAUAAAAUAAACGUGUCUAUGGGUUAAUACAUGCUGUAGCUGGGUACAUGGUGGUUUAUUAUGCUAUUCUUUCUAGUUUUGUGUGCAUCUGAAAUUUUCCAUAAUAAAUACUUUUUAGAAAACUCAUGAACCGUUCUGAUUCCUGGAGAUGCCUUGGUGCGCAUGACCAUAUAAUCCUUCUUUGAAGGUGAGGGCUGGAGAAGAAGUCCUGUUGAGGGAGAUGGGGAGAGGAGCGGAGGGAGGAGGAGCACUGAAGCACCGAGUUAGCUGCGUCACUGCUUAGCUCCAGAUGGGCCACCAUUUCUGAUCUCCUACAACAUGCCAGCCACAGCCCUGAGCACUCUCCACUCCAUCAUCUCAAUUCAUCCUGUGGGGAAGGUAUUAUCAUCUUCACAGAGGAGAAAGCUGAGGGUCAGGGAGGUCCCAUUGCUUGUCCCAAAUCACAGAGCUCAAAAGCGUCCAAGUUCUGCUGGUGGGGGAAGGGCAGUGAAGCAGUGGGACAACAACAACCACCAAAAAGUGCAACAGGAAAAUGAAGGAGAAUGCCAGGAAAAUAAAGACACGGGUUCCAUGAACAGUGAAACCAACCCGGCAAGCAGUAGAGGCUGUCCCAGCAGACAAUUGAGCAAGAGACCUGAAGAAGUGAGAGUGGAUUGAAGCAGGAGAAUGAAACAUCCCGAAAGACAGGUCACUGGAACUCUUGAAGCAACACCAGAUUGUAUACAGCAGUUAGCAAACUUUGAUGUUGUAGGGUUUUUUGUUUGUUUGUUUGUUUUGUUUUGUUUUUGUUUUUGUUUGAGACGCAGUCUCUCUCUGUUGUCCAGGCUGGAGUGCAGUGGUUCGAUCUCAGCUCACUGCAACCUCUGCCUCCCGGAUUCAAGCAAUCCUACUGCCUCAGCCUCUCAAGAAGCUGGGAUUACAGGCACCCACCACCACACCAGGCUAAUUUUUAUAUUUCUGUAGAGAUGGGUUUUAGCCAUGUUGGCCAGGCUGAUCUCGGACUCCUGACCUCAAGUGAUCUCCCUGCCUCAGCCUCCCAAAUGGCUGGGAUUACAGGGGUGAGCCACCGUGCUCAGCCUGGGGAAACUGUUUGAACACAUGAAUCAAUGAAUCAGUAAAGGCUAAUUUUAGUAGUAUAUUAAACAUUCUUAAAACUCAAUGAAAUAUAGACCAAUAAUUCAAUAGAAAAUUGGGCAAAGAACAUGGACAAACAAAAGAAAAGGACAAUGUCUUAAAAAUAUAUGAAAAGAUGCUUAUUCUUACACAUAAGAGAAAUGCUAAUUAAACUACAGUGAGACACUAUGAGAUGUGGGAGAGCUAAAAUGCUGAAUAAUAUCCCUGUUGGCAAUGGUGUGGGGCCAAAGGCACCCCUAUAAACUGUUGUAGGGAGUGUAAAUUAGGACAACCUCCAUGGAAGAUCAUCUGCUGUAAUUGAAAAUGCAUACAAGACUGGACAUGGUGGCUCAUGCCUGUAAUCCCAACAUUUUGGGAGGCCAAGGUGGGAGGAUCACUUGGGUUCAGGAGUUUCAGACCAGCCUGGUCAACAUAAGAAGACUUUAUUUAAAAACACAAAACUAAACUAAAAAACACUUAUUAUACCUUGACUAUGGAGGAGGUCUAGAGAAAAAAAAAUGCAUACACACUUUCAUGUAAAAGUUCCACUCAUAGGAAUUUACCCCACGUGACUCAAACAUGUAUUAUCUAUCAUCUAUGUAUCUAAUUACUAUAUAAUGUAAUGCUGCUUAUUAAUUUUUAAAAGUUUUUUUUUUUUUUUUUUUGAGACAAGGUCUCACUCUGUCACCCAGGCUGGAGUGCAGUGGCUCAAUCACAGUUCACUGCAGCCUUGAACGCCUGGGUACAAGUGAUCCUCCGAAAGUGCUGGAAUUACAGGCAUGAGCCAUUGUGCCCAGCCUGUGAAUAAUGUUGCUAUAAACAUUUUUUAAGCCUAAAAGUAUCUCUAAGCUUUAGUUAUUGAUUGAGAUUAAUUCACAUGUGAUAAAAUUCACCCCUUUAAAGUAUAAAAUCCAGUGGGUUUUAGCGGAUCUACAGAGGGGGUAACCAUCACUGUUAGCUAAUUUCAGGACAUUUUCAUAACCCCAAAAAGAAACC